AACCAUCGUUGAAAAGCUCUUGAUCCGAGUGAAAGAGUCCCUUUUGGUUUUGCAAAUUCUUAUAAUAAGAAUUAUCAAAUGUGUUUGGUGUGGUCGUGUCGAGUGGUGACAAAUUAUUGUCACCACCCGUGGUAGGACAAUUUGCUUGCAAUGAUGUUGCAAAUUCAGAAUCUAUGUUGUCCUCGUUGUAAAUUCUAUUUCUGAAGAAUCUACAGCUUCCUUGACCAAUCGUGUGAGAUCCUAUUUUUUUUUUCAUUUAUAUUAUAUUAGUUAAGUUGCAUGGAAAAAUUUAAAAGUUCAUUAUAUUAUAUGAUACAUAACCGUCUUAAGGUUUUAAAGAUUCUAUGUUAAUUAAUUAUGAUUUAACCGUAAUAAAAUAAAU
rnacentral:lncRNA from 1 species